GGGGAUUUAGCUCAGCGGUAGAGCACUUGCCUAGUAAGCGCAAGGCCCUGGGUUCGGUCCCCAGCCCUG
rnacentral:tRNA from 1 species